CCUACGGGCGGCAGCAGUGAGGAAUAUUGGUCAAUGGACGAGAGUCUGAACCAGCCAAGUAGCGUGAAGGAUGACUGCCCUAUGGGUUGUAAACUUCUUUUAUAUGGGAAUAAAAUGUUCCACGUGUGGGAUUUUGUAUGUACCAUAUGAAUAAGGAUCGGCUAACUUCGUGCCAGCAGCCGCGGUAAUACGGAGGGUCCGAGCGUUAUCCGGAUUUAUUGGGUUUAAAGGGAGCGUAGGUGGAUUGUUAAGUCAGUUGUGAAAGUUUGCGGCUCAACCGUAAAAUUGCAGUUGAAACUGGCAGUCUUGAGUACAGUAGAGGUGGGCGGAAUGCGUGGUGUAGCGGUGAAAUGCUUAGAUAUCACGAAGAACUCCGAUUGCGAAGGCAGUUCACUGGACUGCAACUGACGCUGAGGCUCGAAAGUGUGGGUAUCAAACAGGAUUAGAUACCCUUGUAGUC
rnacentral:rRNA from 1 species